rnacentral:tRNA from 1 species
CGGCGGAUGGCGAACUCGGGUUCGAUGCCGCUCACCGUGGCACAGGGCAUGGCCCUGUUCGACGCCGCGUCCGCCACC